AAGUCGUAACAAGGUUUCCGUAGGUGAACCUGCGGAAGGAUCAUUAACACGUAUAACGUUUUAACCAUCCCUCAACCCCUCUGUGAACCAAAACAUUUUAAACCUAAAUCCUGCUUUCGUGGGCUUAAUUGCUCACGAUUGUAGGUCGCUCCAGCUGGUUCGGGCAUUUCUCGAAAUGCCUGUUCUUCAAGCGUGCGCCUGUUUCAAUUUACUUUGAAAACGGUGGCAGGGCGUCAAACCAAACCCUUGACUCUUACUACUGAAACCCCCCUAACUGAAAGGUGCUUGCAUCUGAAGGUUAACAAAAAUACAAAAACAACUCUUAACAACGGAUAUCUUGGUUCUC
rnacentral:misc_RNA from 1 species